UCAGCAGGCCCGCGGUAAUACGUAUGUGGCAAGCGUUGUUCGGAAUUACUGGGCAUAAAGAGUUCGUAGGCGGAUCCAUAAGUUGGGUGUGAAAUCCCGGGGCUCACCCCCGGAACUGCACUCAAUACUGUGGAUCUGGAGUCCUUCAGGGGUAAGUGGAAUUCCAUGUGUAGCGGUGAAAUGCGUAGAUAUAUGGGAGAACGCCAAUGGCGAAGGCAGCUUACUGGGGAGUGACUGACGCUGAGGAACGAAAGCUAGGGGAUCAAACGGGAUUAGAUACCCCGGUAGUCCUAGCCGUAAACGGUGUACACUAGGUGUCGGAAAAUUCUGAUUUUUCGGUGCCGUAGCUAAUGCGUUAAGUGUACCGCCUGGGUAGUACGAUCGCAAGGUUGAAACUCAAAGGAUUUUGACGG
rnacentral:rRNA from 1 species